CUGGCCCUUCGGGGCUUUAUCGAUCUAGAGAUCAAAUUUUUAUUGAUCAGGAGAUCCUAUCUCCAUCUUAGUCCUUCGGAGCUUUACCAAUUCAAAGAUUGAAUUUUUAUAGAUCAAAAGAUCUUAUCUCCUUUUUGGCCCUUCAGGAUUUUAUCAAUUUAGAGAUCGAAUUUUCAUAGAUCGGGAGAUUUUAUCUCCUUUUUGGCCCUUCGAGGUUUUAUUGAUCUAG
rnacentral:lncRNA from 1 species